rnacentral:lncRNA from 1 species
AUGCAUCCAUGGAGAAUUACGGGAAUGUGGAAUGCUCUUCCAUUAAUAACGCCUUCUUUUACAUUCCUCCAGUGCUCUAGGAAUGAAAGCUACAGACAAUUCUUUCUUGUAAUGCUCCUUUUCAUUUCAGCCACAGAGGAAACAGACAACACCAGAAAUGAAGGCCCCAUGAAAGAUAACGCUGUUGAUUUUGUUUUCAUCAAUCAAGAUGUGCCAACCCAUAUGGUUUUCAAGGGGGUAAGUAAAGCAGGCACAAAGACUAAACUGUAGCUCCACAAUUACGAGCAGGGGAAGAAGCGUGUGCACUGCUGGAUGCUUGUGUUCUCUAGACAGAAGCUGAACACUGCAGCUAGGUCUUGAUACUUCAGCAUCCAGAUCUCUUUGAGAACACUCUUUCUCCUCAUUUGAAAGCAAAUACUGAGAAGUGAAACUUAAGCUCCUUUUACAAAAUCCUGUUUAAUCGGAUCUCUUGCUUAUCUGCAGGCGUAAACCAGCCUCCCCAGAGCUGAAACUUACUUUGUUUGUUGGGCAAUAGAAAUUUAUACCCUUCCAGUUCCCACUUCACAGGGGCAUGGCCAGGAGCUCAAACUUGAACUGGAUCUUAAAUGAUGGAUAGAAAAAAAUGUCACUUUCAGAAAUACCUUCUCCAUCCCAAAGUUAAAUAACUAUUUACUUAAUUUUUCAUUUCUUCUACUAAAAAAAUUUGAAUCUUAUUUUUUAUAAAAUAAGGUUGUCAUGCUAUUCCUUGCAAUGCAUUAGUCAGUUGCUCUACUCACAUUUGUUGAAUACUUUACCAAACUGGUGGGACAUUUUAAUUUUAUGUAACACUUUUAUGAACAGUUGAGACUGUACUUGGACUUUCCGGUUUGCUCCAUUAUUUGUUUAUUAGUCCCACACCUGCACUAUAGUUUUGAUACUUUAAGCUCAGUUUCUUAACCUCAGCACUGUUGGCACGUUGGGCUGGAUAACUCUUGGCUGUGGAGAGAAGUCUUGUGCAUUGUAGGAUGUUUAGCAGCAUCUUAGGAUUCUAUGUACUCAAUGCCAGUAACACAUCCCCCACUCUCACCAAACUCAGUUGUAACAAGCAAAAAUGUCUCAAAGAUGUUAUCAAAUAUCCUCUGUGGGACAAAAUUGCCCACAAUUAAAAACUACUGUUUUAGCUUACUAAUACAUUUUAUACAUUAGAUAAGACAAACCAACUCUCAUUCUUUCGUUUUUUUCCCCUCAAACAUAUCUCAAUUAUUCUCGUACACUUAUUAUUCUAGUUAAA